rnacentral:rRNA from 1 species
ACGGGAGGCAGCAGCUAAGAAUAUUCCGCAAUGGACGAAAGUCUGACGGAGCGACGCCGCGUGGAUGAUGAAGGUCGGAAGAUUGUAAAAUCCUUUUAUGACUGAGGAAUAAGCAGUGUGAGAGAAACGCAUUGUGGUGACUGUAGGUCAUGAAUAAGCAACGGCUAAUUACGUGCCAGCAGCCGCGGUAACACGUAAGUUGCGAGCGUUGUUCGGAAUUAUUGGGCGUAAAGGGCAUGUAGGCGGUUUUGCAAGCUUGGUGUGAAAUCUCGGAGCUCAACUCCGAAAUUGCGUUGAGAACUGCAUAACUAGAGUCACUGAGGGGCAAUCAGAAUUCCAGGUGUAGGGGUGAAAUCUGUAGAUAUCUGGAAGAAUACCAAUGGCGAAGGCAGGUUACCAGCAGAUGACUGACGCUGAGGUGCGAAGGUGCGGGGAGCAAACAGGAUUAGAUACCCUGGUA